rnacentral:rRNA from 1 species
CGCCAGACUCCUACGGGAGGCAGCAGUGAGGAAUAUUGGUCAAUGGGCGAGAGCCUGAACCAGCCAAGUCGCGUGAGGGAAGACGGUCCUACGGAUUGUAAACCUCUUUUGCCGGGGAGCAACGGGGUCCUUGCGAGGGCCCGAUGAGAGUACCCGGAGAAAAAGCAUCGGCUAACUCCGUGCCAGCAGCCGCGGUAAUACGGAGGAUGCGAGCGUUAUCCGGAUUUAUUGGGUUUAAAGGGUGCGCAGGCGGAAGAUCAAGUCAGCGGUAAAAUUGAGAGGCUCAACCUCUUCGAGCCGUUGAAACUGGUUUUCUUGAGUGAGCGAGAAGUAUGCGGAAUGCGUGGUGUAGCGGUGAAAUGCAUAGAUAUCACGCAGAACUCCGAUUGCGAAGGCAGCAUACCGGCGCUCAACUGACGCUCAUGCACGAAAGUGUGGGUAUCGAACAGGAUUAGAUACCCCCGUAAUG